AGAGUUUGAUCAUGGCUCAGGAUGAACGCUGGCGGUAUGCCUAACACAUGCAAGUCGAACGAUGUCUUCGGACAUAGUGGCGGACGGGUGAGUAACGCGUGAGAAUCUGCCUCUAGGAUGGGGAUAACGGUUGGAAACGACCGCUAACACCCAAUAUGCCGUAAGGUGAAAAAUUUAUUGCCUGGAGAGGAGCUCGCGUCUGAUUAGCUAGUUGGUGGGGUAAGAGCUCACCAAGGCCUCGAUCAGUAGCUGGUCUGAGAGGAUGAGCAGCCACACUGGGACUGAGACACGGCCCAGACUCCUACGGGAGGCAGCAGUGGGGAAUUUUCCGCAAUGGGCGAAAGCCUGACGGAGCAAUACCGCGUGAGGGAGGAAUGCCUUUGGGUUGUAAACCUCUUUUCUCAGGGAAGAAGAUCUGACGGUACCUGAGGAAUAAGUAUCGGCUAACUCCGUGCCAGCAGCCGCGGUAAUACGGAGGAUGCAAGCGUUAUCCGGAAUCAUUGGGCGUAAAGCGUCCGCAGGUGGUUUCCAAAGUCUGCUGUUAAAGACUGGAGCUCAACUCCGGAACGGCGGUGGAAACUUGGAAACUAGAGUUCGGUAGGGGUAGCAGGAAUUCCCAGUGUAGCGGUGAAAUGCGUAGAUAUUGGGAAGAACAUCGGUGGCGAANGCGUGCUACUGGACCGUAACUGACACUCAGGGACGAAAGCUAGGGGAGCGAAAGGGAUUAGAUACCCCUGUAGUCCUAGCUGUAAACGAUGGAAACUAGGUGUGGCUUGUAUCGACCCGAGCCGUGCCGUAGCUAACGCGUUAAGUUUCCCGCCUGGGGAGUACGCACGCAAGUGUGAAACUCAAAGGAA
rnacentral:rRNA from 1 species